rnacentral:lncRNA from 1 species
ACAGGCUGUAGAUGGAUGUUAGCAUAUUAACAUCUGCCAGUGAUCUGGGUAAUGGCACCUAAGUUAGGCUGACUGUCCUACACACCAAGUUAACUUGGCUUGUGCAGAACUGUGUUGUUAUACCUAGGUUGCUUCUAGUACCAGAUCUGACUCUGUUAUGUCAACUCUGUGCUGCAUUUUGAAGUGUUGGUGUAUAUGCUGUUGCAAAAUACAUCCACCUCGAGAAGCAUCUUUCAAAGUAUGCUUUCUGAGUGUACACUUUGUUUCUGCCCUCCAGAAACAAAGAACAAAUAGGAGCUGAAAAGUUCUUAUGGAAUAAUCAUUUGACUCUGGGGAAGAGAUCAGAAGUGGAUUUCACUCAAUUUCACUGUGUUCUGUCAAGAAGCCUAGCUGAAAGAAAAAGUGGGACUCUGCAGCGUCAGCCAGAUUUGAUUUUGAUUGCCAGCUUUUCAAAAAGGCUGUGCUGGUGGAAGACCAAGCCUGGAGAAUUUGUUGAGAAGUGGAAACCUCCACUGGUUGUUUCCUGUGUGGAGGAGAAUAGGCAUUUCCUGUGCUCCCUACAAGUGAAUCUUCGCAAGAACUUCUUUUUCUUGGAAAGAAAGAAUGUCUAACUGUAAAGCAGAAGUGAGCACUAAUCACACCAGAGCACAUAAGGAGAAAUGCAACAUCUGAACUUAGCCAAAGAAAAAAGAUACCAAAGAUGUUUGAAUAUAUAUUAAUAUAUUUUGAAGAGGCUGUGAGAAGAAUAUGCUGAAAGUAGCUCUAUCUUGCACGGUGCAUACAGUAAAAGAAGCAUGAAAGUAGUUUGUAGAAUACUUCAUGAAUGAAACUGCAAAAAGAGGAUUGAGCAUGGUGGGUGUGUUCUGGAAAUGAAGUUAAUGUUCCCAGUUUACUAUCUGGGACUUGCAAUGGAAUUG